rnacentral:rRNA from 1 species
AGAGUUUGAUCCUGGCUCAGAAUCAACGCUGGCGGCGUGCCUCAGACAUGCAAGUCGAACGAGAAAGUUCCCUUCGGGGAGCGAGUAAAGUGGCGCACGGGUGAGUAACACGUAGGUAGUCUACCUUCGAGUGGGGAAUAACUCAGGGAAACUUGAGCUAAUACCGCAUAAUGCAGCGGCACCACAUGGUGACAGUUGUUAAAGCAUUUAUGCGCUUGAAGAGGAGCCUGCGGCAGAUUAGCUUGUUGGUAGGGUAAUGGCCUACCAAGGCCGCGAUCUGUAACCGGCCUGAGAGGGCGGACGGUCACACUGACACUGAAUAACGGGUCAGACUCCUACGGGAGGCAGCAGUCGGGAAUUUUGGGCAAUGGGCGAAAGCCUGACCCAGCAACGCCGCGUGAAGGAUGAAAUCCCUCGGGAUGUAAACUUCGGAAGAAUAGGAAGAAUACUGACGGUACUAUUUUUAAGGUCCGGCUAACUACGUGCCAGCAGCCGCGGUAAUACGUAGGGACCAAGCGUUGUUCGGAUUUACUGGGCGUAAAGGGCGCGUAGGCGGCGUGAUAAGUCACUUGUGAAAUCUCCGGGCUUAACUCGGAGCGGCCAAGUGAUACUGUCGUGCUAGAGUGCAGAAAGGGCAAUCGGAAUUCUCGGUGUAGCGGUGAAAUGCGUAGAUAUCGAGAGGAACACCUGAGGCGAAGGCGGGUUGCUAGGCUGACACUGACGCUGAUGCGCGAAAGCUAGGGUAGCAAACGGGAUUAGAUACCCCGGUAGUCCUAGCCCUAAACGAUGAAUGCUUGGUGUCUGGAGUAUUUAGUCUCCGGGUGCCGGCGCUAACGCAUUAAGCAUUCCGCCUGGGGAGUACGCACGCAAGUGUGAAACUCAAGGAAUUGACGGGGACCCGCACAAGCGGUGGAGCAUGUGGUUUAAUUCGACGCACGCGAAGAACCUUACCUGGGCUAG